UGUACACGCAAAAAUCACUUUCUUUCUUAUUUUAAACAAAACGGAAUUUUAGAAUUAGUUAGUAUCAGUGUUUGAAAAUAUACACUCAUUUUUCUCACAGUCAAUGUAGCGAGCUCACAAUAAGAGUGAAAAUGUCAUGCCGUUAUGAGGCCUCGUUUUCCGAGCUAAACAGGCCUGAGUUAUCCCCCUUAGAUUAUGACGUAAUUGGUGCCAAUUUAACUGGGUCCCUGUCUUGUCACAACGCAAAAGAUAUCAAGAACCAGUUUAUGGUGAGACAACAUGGCAUCCGAUACCUUGCCUGGUCCGAAGAAGUUCCCUUGACCCUUCAAGAAAUCGCAAAACCAUACGAUUUUGAACCAAAACGAGCAAGCUUCGCGGUAUGGAAACGAUGAAAAUCAAGUGGAAACAAGAGAAGACCCACAUCACCUAAUUUGUCACCCGACAUCGACUCCACAUCUACACAAUUAGGCCUACCAGUGACAACGUGAAUCUAUCUACAACUCAUAAACAAGAGGUUCACUUUGGGGAUUUGCAGAAAUAGUUGAAGAAUCAGAGAAAAGUUAUUCCAUCUUGUGUUGUCGAGGUGAUUCAUGAAAGAUUUCCAUCUGAUGUAUGUAAUGUUUUUCUCUAUGCUCAUUAAAAUAAACUUUUUUCAUUGAAA